UUUGAUGGCGACCGACGCACGGGUGAGUAACACGUAUCCAACCUGCCGAUGACUCGGGGAUAGCCUUUCGAAAGAAAGAUUAAUACCCGAUGGCAUAGUUCUUCCGCAUGGUGGAACUAUUAAAGAAUUUCGGUCAUCGAUGGGGAUGCGUUCCAUUAGGUUGUUGGCGGGGUAACGGCCCACCAAGCCUUCGAUGGAUAGGGGUUCUGAGAGGAAGGUCCCCCACAUUGGAACUGAGACACGGUCCAAACUCCUACGGGAGGCAGCAUG
rnacentral:rRNA from 1 species